GUCCCAAGGUCCAGCGGCAGCCUCGCCCAGUCGCCCGCAUCUGCGGCCCGCAAGAGAAGCGCAAGCGCUCCUGCGCCGCCGUCCACCGAAUCCCCGACCGCGCCCGGCGCCCCUCGACCUCCGUUCUCCAUGUCGGCGUGAAGGCUAGCUCCUGCUAGGCGCUGGGUAGCGGGUUAGGCAGUGCUGUGCAGAUCCACCUGCGUCCCGCCUUGUUCUGUGCUGCCGCUUGUCGCUGCGUCAUUUACCAAGUGCUCCUGUGCCAGCCGGCCUACGGCCAGCACCACAGUUCGCAGGGCCGCUGGUGUUCUCUCUUGGCUGGCCCCAGUCCCCUGCUCGUCCUACACAGUCUGCCACUGUCCCUCGCUGUUGCAGUGGCCAAGUAACGAAUCACUGUCUCGUUCUCAAUGGGACACAGUUUCUUUUCGAUGCACAGGAUAACAUCUCGCUCGGGUUUGCUUGGUAGAUGUUACAGCUCUGCCGUGAAGGGAGGCACCUCGAUCGCUGGCGUAUGUGACAUCAUUGCUGUCGCAUCUGGGAAAGGCGGCGUAGGCAAGUCCACCACUGCAGUUAACAUUGCUGUAGCACUUGCAAAGGAGUUUAAGCUUCAGGUUGGUUUGCUAGAUGCUGACAUCUAUGGACCAUCCAUUCCCACAAUGAUGAAUCUCCAUGCCAAGCCUGAAUUAAGUGAAGACAUGAAGAUGAUUCCAAUUGAGAACCAUGGUGUGAGAUGCAUGUCCAUUGGUUUUCUUGUAGACAAAGACGCACCAAUUGUUUGGAGAGGUCCUAUGGUAAUGAGUGCUCUUGAGAAGAUGACAAGGGGAGUUGCUUGGGGGGACCUUGAUAUUCUUGUUGUUGAUAUGCCCCCAGGCACUGGUGAUGCUCAACUAUCAAUGUCCCAAAGGCUUCGGUUAUCUGGUGCUUUAAUUGUUUCAACUCCUCAAGAUAUUGCUCUUAUCGAUGCUAGAAGAGGAGCCAACAUGUUCCGCAAAGUUCAAGUUCCAAUUCUGGGAUUGGUAGAGAAUAUGAGUUGCUUUAAAUGCUCAAAAUGUGGUGAGAAAUCUUACAUCUUUGGGGAAGGUGGAGCACAGAGGACUGCAGAGGAAAUUUUUUUAUCGAAUACGCAGGAGGGCUGCGUAUCAUUAAAUUAAAGUAGAGGGAAAAAGGGCCUGUGGCCCGGGACAAACAGAACACACAACACAAACACACACUCUAAACACAAACACACACUUACCCUUACAAAGCACACACCACACAGACACAAACGACCCCAACACUCCCGUCUUUUAGUAGGCUAUAAGGCUUUCCUUUCUCUAUCCAGGGUCAAAAAGAGAGCGCAAGUUCUUGGCUCCAGCAGAAACCCACAAUCUCAUCUCAUCUUUAAAUCCAUCCUCUAAGGUAUUAAGGCAGGGUCGAGCUCCUUCAAAAACACACCUGUUUCGCUGCUUCCAAAUACUCCAAGCCCCAAGGAUUAUCAUACUAUUAAACCCCUUUUUUUUGCUCUUUGGAAUCUUGGUUGAAGCCUUUCUCCACCAUUCAGCAAAAACUGAAUCUCUUCUCUUAGGACUCACAGAAGAGAGACCAAUGGGGGUUAAAAUCUUAUGCCAAAACUGUCUUGUGAAGACGCAAUUAGAUAGAAUAUGCUGCACAGUUUCGUCUUCCUGGUCACAUAGAACACAAAAUUCAGGAUGCUGAAGUCCCCUUUUUUUAAGUCUGUCCGCUGUCCAACAUUUGUUAUUUAUGGCCAGCCAAACAAAGGUCUUACACUUAGGCGCUGCCCAGCUCUUCCAAAUUCUUUUCCAGGGCUCAAAGGAUUCUGCUCCAAUGAAUAGAGCUUUAUAGGCAGAUUUGUUACAAUGGACAUGAAAUUACUUGGUGAUGUACCUCUUGAAAUCAGUAUCAGAACAGGUUCAGAUGAAGGCAACCCUAUUGUUGUAUCAUCACCCAACUCAGCAUCUGCGCAAGCGUACGUAAAUGUUGCGGAGAAGGUGACUCAAAGGCUCAAGGAGUUAGCAGAGGAGCGACGGAUGGGCCCAGAAAUCUUACUUUGAGAAAUUCAGGCUGCUUUUCUCACACCUUUCCCUGUUUGACGCUACGGCGCCAAAACAAUGUACUGAUAAGUAGAUUGCUGUUGGAAGUAAACUUUAAAUUUCGUCACUCUGUCUGAAAAUUUACUCAAACAAACUUCUGCUGCUUCUAUGGUC